rnacentral:rRNA from 1 species
GCACGUAGUUAGCCGCAGCUUCUUCUCCGGGUACCGUCAUUAUCGUUCCCGUCGAAAGAGCUUUACACCCCGAAGGGCUUCAUCGCUCACGCGGCGUCGCUGCAUCAGGGUUUCCCCCAUUGUGCAAGAUUCCCCACUGCUGCCUCCCGUAGGAGUCUGGCCCGUGUCUCAGUGCCAGUGUGACCGUGUGCCCUCUCAGGCCGGCUACCGAUCGUUGCCUUGGUGAGCCAUUACCUCACCAACUAGCUAAUCGGCCGCGGACUCCUCCUUCUGCGCAUUGCUGCUUUCUCCUCUCGGACUUAUGCGGUAUUAGCUCCGGUUUCCCAGAGUUAUUCCCCACAAAAGGGUAGAUGAUCCACGUGUUACUCACCCGUACGCCGCUUUACUCAGGUUGCCCCUUUCUCGCUCGACUUGCAUGUGUUAGGCGCGCCGCCAGCGUUGAUU